GACGAACGCUGGCGGCGUGCUUAACACAUGCAAGUCGAACGGAAAGGCCCUGCUUUUGUGGGGUGCUCGAGUGGCGAACGGGUGAGUAACACGUGAGUAACCUGCCCUUGACUUUGGGAUAACUUCAGGAAACUGGGGCUAAUACCGGAUAGGAGCUCCUGCUGCAUGGUGGGGGUUGGAAAGUUUCGGCGGUUGGGGAUGGACUCGCGGCUUAUCAGCUUGUUGGUGGGGUAGUGGUUUACCAAGGCUUUGACGGGUAGCCGGCCUGAGAGGGUGACCGGCCACAUUGGGACUGAGAUACGGCCCAGACUCCUACGGGAGGCAGCAGUGGGGAAUAUUGCACAAUGGGCGGAAGCCUGAUGCAGCAACGCCGCAUGCGGGAUGACGGCCUUCGGGUUGUAAACCGCUUUCGCCUGUGACGAAGCGUGAGUGACGGUAAUGGGUAAAGAAGCACCGGCUAACUACGUG
rnacentral:rRNA from 1 species